rnacentral:rRNA from 1 species
UUACCGGUGUAAGAUGGGGAUGCGUUCCAUUAGAUAGUAGGCGGGGUAACGGCCCACCUAGUCUUCGAUGGAUAGGGGUUCUGAGAGGAAGGUCCCCCACAUUGGAACUGAGACACGGUCCAAACUCCUACGGGAGGCAGCAGUGAGGAAUAUUGGUCAAUGGACGAGAGUCUGAACCAGCCAAGUAGCGUGAAGGAUGAAGGUUCUAUGGAUUGUAAACUUCUUUUAUACGGGAAUAAACGGAUCCACGUGUGGAUUUUUGCAUGUACCGUAUGAAUAAGGAUCGGCUAACUCCGUGCCAGCAGCCGCGGUAAUACGGAGGAUCCGAGCGUUAUCCGGAUUUAUUGGGUUUAAAGGGAGCGUAGAUGGGUUGUUAAGUCAGUUGUGAAAGUUUGCGGCUCAACCGUAAAAUUGCAAUUGAUACUGGCAGUCUUGAGUACAGUUGAGGUAGGCGGAAUUCGUGGUGUAGCGGUGAAAUGCUUAGAUAUCACGAAGAACUCCGAUUGCGAAGGCAGCUUACUAACCUGUAACUGACAUUGAUGCUCGAAAGUGUGGGUAUCAAACAGGAUUAGAUACCCUGGUAGUCCACACGGUAA